CUAAGAAUAUUCCGCAAUGGACGAAAGUCUGACGGAGCGACGCCGCGUGGAUGAUGAAGGCCGAAAGGUUGUAAAAUCCUUUUGUUACUGAAGAAUAAGCGGGGGAGGGAAUGCCUCCGUGAUGACGUUAGGUAACGAAUAAGCCCCGGCUAAUUACGUGCCAGCAGCCGCGGUAACACGUAAGGGGCGAGCGUUGUUCGGAAUUAUUGGGCGUAAAGGGCGCGUAGGCGGUUAUGUAAGUCUGGGGUGAAAUCAAUCGGCUUAACCGGUUAAUUGCCUUGGAAACUGGAUGACUAGAGUCAUGGAGGGGUAGUUGGAAUUCCGCGUGUAGGGGUGAGAUCUGUAGAUAUGCGGAAGAACACCGGUGGCGAAGGCGAACUACUAGCCAAUGACUGACGCUGAGGCGCGAAAGUGCGGGGAGCAAACAGGAUUAGAUACCCUGGUAGUCCGCACUAUAAACGAUGUGCACUAGGUGUUGGGCCAUGCGGCUCAGUGCCGAAGCGAACGUGAUAAGUGCGCCGCCUGGGGAGUAUGCCCGCAAGGGUGAAACUCAAAGGAAUUGACGGGGGCCCGCACAAGCGGUGGAGCAUGUGGUUUAAUUCGAUGAUACGCGGGGAACCUUACCUGGGUUUGACAUGGUAGUGAAUGGUGCAGAGAUGUAUCAGUCCCGCAAGGGACGCUAUCACAGGUGCUGCAUGGCUGUC
rnacentral:rRNA from 1 species